GUUGUGAACUUCAGAACUUGUGAUAUGUUCUGCCUAUUACAUUACAUUUUACAUAUAUGAAUGGUGAAUCUGAUAUAUAAUGCUUUGCUUGCUCGGUUGCUCCUUGCUUGUUGGUUGCUGCUGCUAACAUCUUGUCAUCUUCUCUAUGAUGUAUUUAGCUGUUGCACAAUGCAUUGGAGGGAGACGAUCAGAGUAGAACAUACAAAGAGGCAGGGGCAACAUAUUGGAGAGAGAACAAGGUUAUAAACUUAUAAUUGUACCUCCAGUUUACAUUCUAGCACUUUUUUAUGUCAAACUGCUCUUUUUUGCCCAUAUCCGUACAAUUAUAUAGAAAACGCAUAAUUGCGCCUAAUCACGCCUAAUCACGCCUAAGCUAGAAAAGCGCAAGUAGGUGGCCAAACGCAUAAUUAACGCCUAGCGCUUUCUCAAACUUUGUUAAUCAGACACACAAAGUUAAAUUGCAGAGCAGAAAAUAUUAAGGAACUAAAUGGCACAUGCUAGGAAAAUAGGAAGGCACAUCAAGGAGGUAUAUAUCAUAAUUAAUAGGGAGAGUAUUUUUUUCAAAGUAGAGAGAGGGGUCCUUCAUUACAAUUGUUCAUUCAAUUCUUGGAUCGUUUGAGCAAACAAAUCUGAUGAAACAAUACAAUAAUAUUAACAUGUAUACUCACAUUAUAUCCUCUUAUGAACAUUUACUCGGACAUUAACUCUCAUGAUUAUUUGAGUAAACAUAUAUAACAUCAGCGACCAAAGAGACGUGCACCUUAUAGAAUGCAUGUCGUGUAGGCAAACAAACCAAACAGAUACAUUACUUAUACUUAGGACAGUAAAUUUGCGUGCUUUGGUCGUCACUGAUUCCAUACAUAUAAAUCAAAAAAGGAAUAAUGCCACUGUUUGACGUUUGGUAUGAAAGGUGAACAGGGAAGCAUUCUCUUCAGGUAACCGGUGGUCUAACUGAACAAUUUUACGAAGUGGGGAAUUGAGGAACCAAUCCUUUGGUUCAGAAUCAUCUCUUACUAUUUUAGUCAAGGCACAUAGAGAACUAAAAUGCAGCUAUCAUUAAAUUCCCCACCAGCCACAAUGGCAACUACAGUUGGCCGUCUAUAUGAACCAGUUAUAAUCACUAAAAUAUCAUGGAUCCACAACAAACCAAGAAAGAGAUACCUCCAAAUGGAGGAGGCAAUCUCAACAAGACAGUUCGAAGGAAAUAACACAUCAAUACUACUAAGAAAACGAAGAUUGGUAGCUGCAGUGCAUGUAUUACAGUAGUACAUUGAGCACCUGAGACAGUAGCCGAAUCCGAAGGAGAAGUAGCCACACACCCAGCAACGACCCUGGCACCAAACUCUAACCUGGCAGUACUAUAAAACACAUUGACACUCAAUUCACAGCACAUAAAUAAUUAAUACAUAGUCACAAGUCAAAGAUAUAUUUCAAUGUUACCAAAGCCAUUUUCAGAAGCAAAUACCAGCACUUUAAGUAUACUGGAACAAAAAUAAACCAAAACUAAAAAAACUACUAACUAAUGUGGUCGAAAAACACCGGAUACUGAUCUAUGAAAUGUACCAACCUUAUUUUACUAAAUCUUCCACUACCAGAUGUGAUGUUAAAUAUCAAUUGAUAAUUACUAAUUUGUAUCUGCAAAGUAUCAUGAUAAAAAUGAAAUACCAGAUCAGUUAGAGAACACAAUUAUGCAAAAUACUGAUAAGAAAUCUGUAAAUAUUUGUGAUCGGUGUAUUUUUAAAAUAAAGCAAAUGCACCAUCUUAUCUUUCUUAUGUAGGUCAUGCCAGUUUUAAGCGAACUCUUUGACAUUUUCCAUAUAAAAAAAUGUAAGUGCAACCUUUCUAUACGACUGGCCAAUGUAAAAAGCGGUC
rnacentral:lncRNA from 1 species